CUUUUCUCUACCCCCUACACCCGCUGACCAAAAUGUGUACAACACGUAUUUGCUUUCGGACGGCUCUGUUACAACCUUCCGGGUGGUUCAAUCGCUCAUGACUUUCAUCGACGCCCAAGCCAACUGCGCAGCUGAAGGGGCGACUCUGGCUAGAAUAACAACCGUUCCAAAGAUGCAGCUGUUACAACACAUAAUGCGGACCUGGGGACCAGUAACCGGAUAUACUGACCAUUGGAUAAGUGGUUUGCUUCAAGUUGGGGCGUAUGGCAAUCAAUGGGUGACUGAACACAAUGAGGUUAUUCCGACAACUGGGGACUUCUGGAUCCACUCAAACCCAUACACACUAGAUCCGGACAUGCGUGCCGCAAUGUAUUACACAUCGUUUUUCUUCAAGGAACUUCCUUGGUUUGAUACU